UACGGAGGGUGCAAGCGUUAUCCGGAUUCACUGGGUUUAAAGGGUGCGUAGGUGGGGCUGUAAGUCAGUGGUGAAAUCUCCAAGCUUAACUUGGAACUGCCGUUGAUACUAUAGCUCUUGAAUGUUGUGGAGGUGAGCGGAAUAUGUCAUGUAGCGGUGAAAUGCUUAGAUAUGAACAUAGAACACCAAUUGCGAAGGCAGCUACACUAACACAAAUAAU
rnacentral:rRNA from 1 species